rnacentral:rRNA from 1 species
UACGUAGGGUGCAAGCGUUGUCCAGAAUUAUUGGGCGUAAAGAGCUCGUAGGCGGUUUGUCGCGUCGGCUGUGAAAACUCGGGGCUCAACCCCGAGCCUGCAGUCGAUACGGGCAGACUAGAGUGCGGUAGGGGAGACUGGAAUUCCUGGUGUAGCGGUGAAAUGCGCAGAUAUCAGGAGGAACACCGGUGGCGAAGGCGGGUCUCUGGGCCGUAACUGACGCUGAGGAGCGAAAGCGUGGGGAGCAAACAGG